GGACCUGUAGCUCAGCUGGUUAGAGCACUCGCUUGAUAAGCGAGGGGUCGAAAGUUCAAAUCUUUCCAGGUCCA
rnacentral:tRNA from 1 species